CACUCCUCAGUUGUUGUCAACAAGGCAGAAAGAAGAGUGCUGGAAACAUUGCAUUGAAGGAGUGAAUAUGACUGUCGUCCAACUCAUCAUGCUUUUUUUGAUUUUUAACCAACAUGUUACUGGUUUGACAUGCAAAAGAGGUGAAAAAGUAUCCCGUAAUGGAAAUGGUUGUGAACCCUGCAAACCAGGCUCUUAUCAGGAUCAUGAAAAUACUUCAAGAUACUGUAGAGCAUGUGUAUCGUGUGACACUAAUCAUGGUAGUGUCAUUAAACAGCCUUGUACCAGAUUCACAAACACAAAAUGUGAGUGCCGUAAAGACUUUGUUCCAUGGGACAGUGAUUCUUCCAACUGCAAAUGUGCCGAGGGAUUUAAACGAAUAGGAGGAGAAUGUAAACGAUGUGAAGAAGGAUUUUUCAUUACACCUGAAAACUCAGACUGUAAAAAAUGGAAAGAAUGUAAAUCAGGGGUGAAAACCAAUGGAACUGCAACGUCAGAUGUUAUCUGUAAUGAGCCAAACAGUGAUACUUAUAGCACUACACCUCCCACAUCAAACACAGUUACUACUCUCCGAGGUCUAAUAACUCAACGUCCACAGUGGGAGGCCCAAACUCAGGAAAUGGAUACUGGAUCUGUUAGCUCUCCUCCACAAGUAGCCACUUCUACAACGAAAUCCAAAUUAUUUUGGCACAGCCUUCAUUUUCCAUUGUUUGUGAGAUGAAGCCACAGAUUAAAAAAAAAAAAAAAAAAAGAAGCUAUGUAAACUGUAGCAGACUUUUUUUGUCUUACCAGGUAUGGCUCAUUAUUUAGGAAUUUCAAAUUUAUAAUCUUUAAAAGGCUUUUGUCACUCUGGCAAUCAGGGAGGAAGGAAACUGAAUAAUUCUAACUGGAAUUUGUCCCAAAUUUGUUUACACAAGCAAUCCACGUAAGGAUAACUUAGAUGUAUAUACAGCCCUCAUAUUCAUUACAUGUAUACAAUUGCCACUACUGCUACUGUGGUUUAGUAAGUAAAAGUAUUUUACAGUUAUCUUUUUUUAAAAGAUUGUUUGAAACAUAUGAAUCUGUAAAAGUAAAGACAUUUAAAACAUCUUGUGUAUUAUCUGUAUCACCAAAACAUUAUUUGCUAUUAAUGCGCCUGCAGCCACACAACUCUGAAGUUGGGCAAAAGAUGUGCUCUAGGUUGCGGCUGCGUUAUAUAUGGGAAGUGCUGAUUGGGCCAAGUGCAGCUCUUUCAUCAGUGGCAAUUAUAUGUAAUUAACUUUUAAUG